rnacentral:rRNA from 1 species
GACGAACGCUGGCGGCGUGCUUAACACAUGCAAGUCGAGCGGUAAGGCCCUUUCGGGGUACGACGAGCGGCGAACGGUGAGUAACACGUGGGUGACCUGCCCUCAGCUCUGGGAUAAGCCUGGGAAACCGGGUCUAAUACUGGAUAUGACUCCAUGACGCAUGUUGUGGGGUGGAAANCCUUGUGCGGCUGAGGAUGGGCCCG